rnacentral:rRNA from 1 species
UACGGAGGGUGCGAGCGUUGUCCGGAAUCACUGGGCGUAAAGGGCGCGUAGGCGGCCUGAUAAGUAGGGGGUGAAAUCCUGCGGCUUAACCGCAGGGCUGCCUUCUAAACUGUCAGGCUCGAGCACAGUAGAGGCAGGUGGAAUUCCCGGUGUAGCGGUGGAAUGCGUAGAGAUCGGGAGGAACACCGGUGGCGAAGGCGGGUCUCUGGGCAGUAACUGACGCUGAGGAGCGAAAGCGUGGGGAGCGAACAGG